AAUUUCGUGGUAAAAGUUCGCUUCGUCUUCCUCCAUAUGUUGAUGAUUUCAUCUUUCAGAAAUAAGUGAAGACCUCAGCUUUGUACGUGUUUCUGCUUGGAAGAUAUUUUUCCUGGGAAUGCAAAUAUGGAGAUGAUACAGUUUUAAAUGUGGACAUACAACAGAAAACUCACUGUUUCUUGAAGACCACUAUGGACUGUCAUCUGGAACUACAACUUGGAAAGUUGUUGCUGAUGUGAAAUAUAAGACAACAUUAAUACACUAUUUGUAUAUACUUUGGUAUGUGCGAUAACAUUGCAGCAAAAAAAGUGACACAACUACUGUGUUUCAGAUGACUGGACAGUUUCGUGUUUUGCCUUGAUUACAAUGUAGUUUGUGUGAAUGAUCAUGGCUAACUAGAACAGCCCCCCCCCCCCACCCCCCACCCCACCAUCCCCCGUGUGUGUUACAUAAUUAUUCUGAACUAUGUGAUAAACCAGGUUACCCGAUAGUUUGUUGUCAUAGCAGUUCGACCAAAGUGAACAGUGACCGUGUUAAUGUUUUAUUAUUAUUAUGGUUUAAAUUAAUAUGGCUCAAUCUAGUGAGGCUAGUUUCACCUGCGAAGUAUGUUUAAAGCAUUUUGCACAUCGCGCUAAUUUGAAAAGACACAUGUUAAUACACACAGGUGAAAAACCGUUUCCAUGCCACGUCUGUUCGAAGCGGUUCGCGCGCCAUUCGCACGUGCAGUCUCACAUGCUAAUUCACACUGGCGUAAAACAAUUUCAAUGCGACGUCUGCUCAAAGGGUUUCGCACACAGAGUGCAACUCAAAACUCACAUGUUUGAGCAUGGCAGCAAACUUUACACGUGCGACUUGUGCUCAAAGGAAUGCACCCGGCUCUCAAGUCUGAAGUCGCACAUGAUGUUUAUUCACAACGUCGGAGAGAAAACGUUUAUGUGUACGUGCAUCGUUUGUUCUAGACGGUUCACACACCAAUCGCACCUCAACAGACAUAUGGCGGUCCAUUCCGGCGAAAGAGCGUUCCCCUGUGACAUUUGCUCUAAACGUUUUACAAGGAGUUCUCAUGUUACGAGACACAGGUUGAUACAUUUCCGAACAUCACCAGCCAGGUGAAAUUGUAUAUACAUGUGACUGUAUGUCAUUAAAGGCAUAUUAUCACAGACCACUGACCAAUUUAAUGGUCUAACAAAGUAUUACCUGAACAAAAAUAAUUUGAUUUGUCCGUAAAUGUACUUUAUUCAACUAUCUUCAAUAACCACCAUCUAUUAAUGAUAUUAUGGCAAUGGUCCAUAAUUCAAAAACUAAAAUUGCCGAGAGAGUUGACAUGGAUUUCACUCCAUCAUGGUUCAGUUAAGGUGAUGCGAUAACUUGAUUUGGUUUCCAACAAUUAAUGUAAUUUUUAUUUAUUAUCCAUUUUUAGAGAAAUAAGGUCCUUAAAUCCAUGACAGUAUGACUUUAAGUGGCAGUCCCAUGUAUACAUGGAAAUCCAGGUAGUCCUACAUAUUGUGUGUAGGCUUGUAGGAAUGGGGUUUGGACCGGAAGGAGUGUCCCGUGCCUCCUCAGUUGAGGACCCCACAUUUCAAAAUCUUAGCCAACCAAUGUCAGUUCACGUGAUUUUUAUCUAUAGUCCUUCCCAUAGGGAACACAUUUUUGUCAUACUAUGGAAUUUAUUACAAGUUAUUUAUUUUUGACCCGCUUAUUUUAUUAAUUGCACACGGAAAUAGUUAGGGGUAGGGGUAGGUUGUGUGUGUUUUUUGUUGUUUCCAAAACACUUUGACUUUUCUUCUUACGUCAAACCAAACUGAAUUUUUUUUUUUUUUUUUAAAUGGUUGCUGGAGUUUGGGAUGGGACGGACUAUAUGUAACCGAUGUUCGGUUAUGUGAAUUAUACUUGUACGUGAAUUACCAUUUAAUAACUACGUGCUGCACAUCAUUGUCCAAAAUUAAGAUAGUAUAUAAUAGAUGCAUUUUUAGAAUACGUGAAUAAAAGUUUGGUGAUUCAA